UCUCUAGUAUAAAUGUUUGAUGCUGAUUUCAUGCUAAAACUUUAUUGAGCAUAAUACUUAUAAAAUCUUAUGUUAUCCUUUGUGAAGGUAUGAAUGUAAUUCAUCAUGUUAUUAUUAUACCAUUCAUUCCUUAUAUGAUUAUCUGAAAUGUAUUAUGAUUUGCUUUAUAAGUCUCAUAUAUGCAUCAUAGGUUAAACCAUGAUCAUCUCAAAUUGGUUCAAUCAUAAAUGAUUAAUGUGUUAUGAUCAUAAUAAGAAACUUACUUAAAAGUUUUUAUAAUAACAAAUUGUCUUCCUUCUUACAAGUAAUGCUCAAGACUAUUCUAAAAUUCAAAAUCAAUAAAUCUGAUCAUUAAAAUAUUU
rnacentral:lncRNA from 1 species